CUAACUUGGAGGCUAGAGGCGCGUUUUAAUUUUACAGUUAUGCUUCGCAGAAAAUAUAAUGAACAAAAUAAUAAUAAUAAUAAUAAUAAUAAUAAUAAAAACAAGGAAACAAAUGUUCCAUUUACUUCACAUGUAGCCAUUUUGAGAAAUUAAGUCUUACUGCUUUAGGACUCACAGGAUGCUAAAACAUGAAUAGACGUGUGAUAACUAAUGAGCCAUUCGCUGACUUGACGCUGACACCACUUCCUUACAAAAAAUGUUUGAUAAAAACGUACAUAGAAACAAUUUCUUUAAAAAACAACAACAACAACAACAACAAUGUUAUUAAUAUUUAAAACUUGAAUCGUGUGAAUAAGUGUUUCCGGGUUUCAAAAUGGCGGCCUCUACUUUCGCUCCCUCUCCUAGCAUCUGAAAACACAGCUAUGUUAAAGGUUCUUCGUUCUUUUCUGCUUUCUCCUGGCUGGGAGACGGGGAGCGGGGCGCUGAGCCGGUGUUGGAACUGCUGCUGCUGGGUCGGUCCUGAGACUCUGCUUUCUCCUGGCUAGGAGACGGGGAGCAGGGCGCUGAGCCGGUGUUGGAACUGCUGCUGCUGGGUCGGUCCUGAGACUCUGCUUUCUCCUGGCUGGGAGACGGGGAGCAGGGCGCUGAGCCGGUGUUGGAACUGCUGCUGCUGGGUCGGUCCUGAGACUCUGCUUUCUCCUGGCUGGGAGACGGGGAGCAGGGCGCUGAGCCGGCGCUGGAACUGCUGCUGCUGGGUCGGUCCUGAGACUCUGCUUUCUCCUGCUCCCUAGUUGUCGUUGUCGGUACUGCUGCUUGCCGAGAGCUGCAGGAAGGGCCAGCGCCAGAAGACGAGGACGAGGAAGAAGCUUCAGCUUCACUCUCAUCGCUCUCACCUUCCGAACUGUCCACGUCCUCAAGGUCCUCGAGGUUGGUCCUGGGGAAAUCAGGACCAUCAAGAAGUUAAAGUUCUGUUUUGACAUUCUUAUUACAUAAUACAUUUGGCAUUCUUAUUACAUAAUACAAGAUGUUUAAAUGGCUAUCUAUCUAACAGCAUACACACAAGGGUAGUGUAAAAUGGAAUGAUCUCCAUAUGAAAUGCCCUCGUUUUCCAGAGCACUGUGACCGCUGGAUUUCUCACCAGAAGCAUUUCUUCUUUGAAGACGUGUUUCCGUUUUUGGUAGCUGGGCGUUUACGUAGUGGCUUUUCUUCUGCCCGUACCACGCCGCUGGAUGAAGCCUGCAUGCCUGGAAGUAGGAAACAAACAACUCUGUAAUCAAUGACAUAUAGACAAUUAAGGCACCUAGACAAUUUACAUGUUACUGUUUACAGAUCGAAUUAUCCAGCUACUGUCCUGUUGUAUACAUGCAGGAGAAAAACCUGAUUUGUAAAAAAUAAAUAAAGAAAGAAAACAAAA